rnacentral:misc_RNA from 1 species
GGAAGGAUCAUUAACGAAUAAACCUGGCAGAUUGUAGCUGGCCCUUUCGAGGGUAUGUGCACAUCGGUCAUUUUUAUCUUUCCACCUGUGCACAUCAUGUAGACCUAGAGGAUUAGAACUGCAAGCUUAUCAAUCUGAGGUAAAACUCAGUCGUGAGGAGUUGUAGGCACUUCAAGUGUCAGCUCUCCUUGUUGUAGGCUCUGUUCUCUAGGAUCUAUGCUUUCACACACCCCAUUUAAAAAACAUCAGAAUGUAUUCAAUGGGUCUUUGUACCUAUAAAAACUAUACAACUUUCAGCAACGGAUCUCUUGGCUCUCGCAUCGAUGAAGAACGCAGCGAAAUGCGAUAAGUAAUGUGAAUUGCAGAAUUCAGUGAAUCAUCGAAUCUUUGAACGCACCUUGCGCCCCUUGGUAUUCCGAGGGGCAUGCCUGUUUGAGUGUCAUUAAAUUCUCAACCUUACUAGCUUUGCUGGUCUGGCUUGGAUAUGGAGGUUUAUGCAGGCUCUCGAGUCAGCUCCUCUGAAAUGCAUUAGCGGUACCUCUGUGGUAUAACAGCUAUUGGUGUGAUAACUAUCUACGCCAUUAGUCAGUGCCACACAUAUAAAGGGGCUAUGCUGCUGUCUAACUGUCUACUUGCUAGACAAUACUUGACAAUCUUGACCUCAAAUCAGGUAGGACUACCCGCUGAACUUAAGCAUAUCAAUAAGCGGAGGAAAAGAAACUAACAAGGAUUCCCCUAGUAACUGCGAGUGAAGCGGGAAAAGCUCAAAUUUAAAAUCUGGCGGUCUUUGGCUGUCCGAGUUGUAAUCUAGAGAAGUGUUACCCGCGUUGGACCGUGUACAAGUCUCCUGGAAUGGAGCGUCAUAGAGGGUGAGAAUCCCGUCUUUGACACGGACUGCCAAGGCUUUGUGGUGCGCUCUCAAAGAGUCGAGUUGUUUGGGAAUGCAGCUCAAAAUGGGUGGUAAAUGCCAUCUAAAGCUAAAUAUUGGCGAGAGACCGAUAGCGAACAAGUACCGUGAGGGAAAGAUGAAAAGAACUUUGGAAAGAGAGUUAAACAGUACGUGAAAUUGCUGAAAGGGAAACGCUUGAAGUCAGUCGCGUUGGCUGGAAAUCAACCUUACUUUUGUUGGGUGUACUUUCUGGUUGACGGGUCAGUAUCAGUUUUGACCGGUGGAUAAAGGUGCAGGGAAUGUGGCUCCCUCGGGAGUGUUAUAGCCUUGUAUCAUAUACAUCGGUUGGGACUGAGGUACUCAGCACGCCGCAAGGCCGGGUUUCGACCACGUUCGUGCUUAGGAUACUGGCAUAAUGGCUUUAAUCGACCCGUCUUGAAACACGGACCAAGGAGUCUAACAUGCAUGCGAGUGUUUGGGUGGAAAACCCGAGCGCGUAAUGAAAGUGAAAGUUGAGAUCCCUGUCAUGGGGAGCAUCGACGCCCGGACCAGAGCUUUUGUGACGGAUCUGCGGUAGAGCACGUAUGUUGGGACCCGAAAGAUGGUGAACUAUGCCUGAAUAGGGUGAAGCCAGAGGAAACUCUGGUGGAGGCUCGUAGCGAUUCUGACGUGCAAAUCGAUCGUCAAAUUUGGGUAUAGGGGCGAAAGACUAAUCGAACCAUCUAGUAGCUGGUUCCUGC